GAGGUCUUAGCUUAAUAAAAGUGUCUGAGUUGCAGCCAGAUGAUGUAAGUUAGAGUUUUACAGGUCUU
rnacentral:tRNA from 1 species